AGCAGUCUGGGUCCCUGGACGCAGCCUGAGCCUGCGGGUGCUUCGCGGCCGUGGCUCCCUGCUGCACCCUGCCAGCUGGGCAGCCUCGAGGACCCGCUCGCCCCAGCACACAGCUCUGUGGGCCAGCUCGGCUCCGUGGGGUGCCUGGCUCUGCACCUUGCCCAGGGCCUCCCUGGGCUAGUGCCCAGCACCAGCACUCGCCAGCCCCAGCCUGGCUCUUUGUCAUGCCUUUUCCUGCACCCUCUCCUGCUGCAGGAAGGCUCACUCUGGGUGCCGUGGGCACAUGGCUCUGUCCCUGAGGCUGGGCACCGACACCUUCCCAGAGGGGCACGUGGUGGGGCAGAGGGGCAUUUCACAGGGUAUUUCACAAGCUGGCACCAGCUGUUUCUCCCCUCUGCCCCCAACCAUGUCCCUCCUCCCCAUGCCCUUCACCUGCCCUCCUGCCUGCCAUCACCUCCCUCUUCUGAGUGCCCUGCCAAGGCUGUGCAGUGGGCACCAGGCACUGCUGCCCAGCUGCCGUGCCACCUUUAUGGUGUCUCCCCUUCUUUUUCUCCCUUGCCUCAGCAUUCAUCUCUUAGAGCCUCAGCAUCCAUUCCAGUAUGGGAGCCACCUGCACUGCUUUCCGCAUUGGCUUACUGGCGGCACUGGGAGAGGGAGGAGCUACCCCCCAGGAUUGGUUUUGAAGCUGGGAGUUGGAUAGCAUCAGGUGGGGGCAAAGAACAGGGCAGCCUUGAGGGCCCCAACCUCAGCCUGGCCAGUGGGGAGCAGUGCCCAGGCAGUGUUGGGGAAGGAAGGACGGACCAAGGUGGCUAUGGUCAUGCUCGUGUGCAGCCAGCAGCAGCCCCUGCUGGCACAUCCUCGACUGGCAGUGCCACCCGGGGUGGGCAGUGGGCAGGAGGAGCACCCUUGCGGCCAGUGCCCCUCCUUUCUGCAGAGGGUCCUGCUGCUGGCUCAGGGAGGGGGGGUGCUGAGCCAGUGCAGCUUGGCCUCAUGCCACCUCCUGCCUGCAUGCCACCUCCAGCCUCCAUGCCACCUCCUCUGCAGCCUGGAGCUGUGCCCAAAGAAGGGCUGUGA
rnacentral:lncRNA from 1 species